UUCGAAAUGAGUAGAUACUAUAAUAACGACAAAUACAAUAGAUAAUCGGAAGCCUGUAGGCUCAAGGCUGUACAAUAGACUCUACAUUAAACUCUUUUUUAAUUUAGAGUUCUUUAGACUCAACAGUUUGCAGACUAUGGAAUGCUUUUCUCAAUUUACAAGUAUUGGAGAUACAUGGGUAUUGGAGAUCAGAUCUCAUACAAUUAUUUUUGAGGCAUUAGAAAAAUGAAAUGAAAGGGAAAGAACUUGUGUAAGAAGUAACGAUUGCCUCUCCGGUAUUCGGCAUCUGAUGUCGGUGCCGUGAGAGGAUCUCUCCCUUCUUAGCUCUUCAAGGCAACUGUGGUGAGCGAAGCAAACCACAAAUUUCAGCUUUUCUCUCCGGCGACGCUGUGUUGUGGAUAAUUUCUUCGACGAGACGAACAGUACCUUGAACCCAAAUGAUUCGAAGUAGGUGUGCUUAUUCCAAAGAUCCAGGCCGCUUGAGGACUGCGGUGGGACGACGGUGAGCCGCCGAAGGAGAGAAGUUGUGGUUGAGCCCAACUGAUCGACAAAAGUGCUCUAUUUUCUAGAUCCGGGCUGCUUGAGGACUACGGUGGGUGAAAGGUUGGAGCCGCCAUAAGUUCGAGGUUGUGGUUGGAGUUUUUUGUUUUCGACGGAGGUGUUCUUACUCCGAGAUCGGGCUGCUUGAGAUCUGCGAUGGGAGCAGGGGCGGACCCACAUGGAGGAGAGUGGGGUCCCAGGCCCUCUACUGAUUUGAGAAAAAAGUUUUUUUUAAAAGGGGUUAGAGAAUAUUCUCAUGAAAAAAA
rnacentral:lncRNA from 1 species